CACUAUUCAUUCCAUAGGCCCAGGAGAACAGUGGGUUCCUGUUGAUUAUUUGAAGACAUCAGGAACAAAGAUCGGAAACAUUUUCGUAUGUGACACGUGCAACAAAGUUUUCAAGACAAAGGACCUUUUGAGGCAACACAGAGAAUUUCAUGAACAUACUGUACAUGAGUGCUCAUUCUGUCACAGUACCUUCUUAUACAGAAGAAACCUACAGUAUCACAUGAAACGAUUGUGUAAAUACAGGGCAUUUUGAAAAAAAUGAAAUUUUCCGAACCAUCAGCUCAGACAUUCGUCAAAUCAACCACGAAUCUUGGACAUGCAGACCCAACAGUACAUCUGCAGCUGUGUGUCAGAUAUGUGGGAAAUUCUUUAAAGCUAAACAAAAUCUCAGGCAACAUAUGCAGAUUCAUGGACAGAAAUUCCAGUGUAUAAACUGUCAAGCUACUUUUAAAUUUAGAUCUAACCUUUUUCGCCAUCAACGACGAUUUUGUCCAUUCCGAGUGCAAGAAAAGAGCUGAUAACUUUUAGUUUCUUUUAAUCAGCAGUACCAUGAAUGGUUAUAGGGAGUAAUUGUUGUUCCUUCCAUGAUAAAAUAUAAGGUAGAAGAAUAAAACAGGUUUAAUAAUUUUUAAGUAAAAAGAUUGAAUAUUUUUUCUUAUCUUGCUAUAUCAUAUUUAGUAACA